UAAACUUGGUAGUGCUUUUCUGGUUAUCCAGCGUCUGAUGACACUCAAAAGUCCCACAGAUCAAGGCACAGAAUGCAUAAAUCAUCCGGCUCAUCACAUAGGACUAUGAGCAGAUCACUCUCCUGUGACUCACAAUCUAAGGGAUCUAUUUCUACUCCUCGUGGGUCCAUGAAGGUUGACUUGAGCAAACUGGAGAUGGCUGCUUUGAGGAGAUAUUGGCGACACUUUAAUCUUGUGGAUGCUAUCCCUAAUCCAUCAAAAGAGCAACUGGUAGAUGUUGUUCAGAGGCAUUUCAUGUCAC